rnacentral:tRNA from 1 species
UCCCUGGUGGUUCAGUGGAAGACUCUGUGCUCCCAAUGCAGGGGGUCCAGGUUCGAUCCCUGGUCAGGGAA